GUGGGGAAUAUUGCGCAAUGGGGGAAACCCUGACGCAGCAAUACCGCGUGAGUGAAGAAGGUUUUCGGAUCGUAAAACUCUUUUAUUGGGGAAGAAGAAGUGACGGUACCCAAUGAAGAAGUCCCGGCUAACUACGUGCCAGCAGCCGCGGUAAUACGUAGGGGACAAGCGUUGUCCGGAAUCACUGGGCGUAAAGGGCGCGUCGGCGGUGUUAUAAGUCAGAUGUGACAGGUACCGGCUCACCCGGUGACGUGCAUUUGAAACUGUAAGACUUGAGUGCUGGAGAGGCAAGUGGAAGUCCUAGUGUAGCGGUGAAAUGCGUAGAUAUUAGGAGGAACACCGGUGGCGAAGGCGGCUUGCUGGACAGAUACUGACGCUGAGGUGCGAAAGCGUGGGGAGCGAACAGGAUUAGAAACCCGGGUAGUCC
rnacentral:rRNA from 1 species